rnacentral:lncRNA from 1 species
CGCCCCCCCCUCCCCUCUCUUGCACCGCGGGCGGGGCGCCUGAGGGGGGAGGGGCAAGCCGGGGUACUGCGUAGCGGUAGGGGUUUGUGAUAAAUGACGGGUUGUUAUGGGGAUAAAUGCAUGUGCCUCAUCAUAUUGCAAACCAUCCACGGGGCUGGGAAUGGCGGCGUGCAACGACGUGCACGGCCACUCGGUGUCCCCAUUCAAUUGCAUUGCUAGAUGUGGGACGCACAGGCGGCACCGGUACCAUGAGUUGCUUUCAUGCUGGGCUGCGGUCGCACUGGUUGUUACGGCUCAGCUCAGGGCGUCACAUAUACCGUAUGACGGCACUGAUGCUGCACGGGAGCUGCAAUUCCUCCCCUGGUGAGCUGCGUGGCGGAACGACACUGAACAAGUGCUGGCGCAUAGGUGUCGUGUGUCCUCCAGGCCGCGGCCACUGUGUGCCGUGCGCGCCACCGCGGAUGCCUUGACCCCAGCCCUCGCAUACGGGACCGUGACCGUGGCGCACACAGGUGUCAUGACUUGGCGCGUGACCGUGCGUAUCGUGUGACUGGGUGGUUCGGGUGUGGUUCUGGCGUGUGGGAAGAAGGGAACGUGCCCGAGGCUGGUUGGCCCGACACGGUGUAUUGCAUGGGAGGCCGGAGUACGGGUGACGAUAAAGGUCGCGUUUGAGCGCGGCUAGAGCCGUCCGCCCGUCCCUCAUUCCGAUCCUAGGCGUAUACCGUAGUCUUUGACCGUUCAAUGUGAGGGACCCGUCCUAGUGGACGUAACACUCAGAGGCAACAAUAUGUAAGGCAGAACGUGAUCGUCUGGCGCCGCCCUCUCACUCCUACGCAUACGCUCCAGGCCGCCUACACCGUAGCCAACACGGCCAUUGAAGAGGCUGACAGAACAGAUCUGAAAACAUCGAGUCGCCAUCAGGCACGCUGAACGUGCAGUGUCCUAUCAUAGGGCGCGACACAGGGGCAUCACCGUCAUUGGCAGAAGUACUGCACCGUGGAUCCACAGCGUUGUGUGCUCACCACGGCGCAGGCCGGUGAUAGGUGAUACCACAACGCUAACCAACGAGAGAUGUCUCAGGACUCAGGAUCGCAGAGGCGAGGGACGAGCGGGCACGUCCUGCGGUGCUUACCCACGGUCGGGGCCGUAGAAGGCCUCAUUGCUGGCCUUGCUCCACCAGCCAGCCUUCGCACUGCAAGGAGCAGAUGCGAGCACCCGAUUUCGUAGCCCGCCCUGUUGACACACGCGAAACCCUAUCCCCCAACACCUAACACUCUAGCUGGGCAGUUGCCCAAGCCCCCGCGUUCAGGCUGCAGCUGCUGAGCUGCUGCCCGUGUGCUGCCGGCGUGCCCAGCACCAUGGCCCACGGGAGCACACCCUGCGCUCCGUCCAGACUGGCGCCUCGGUGUCGCGCUUGCACUGCAGAGCAUUCAAACCUUCACAACCCGCGCAAGAAGGCCCAGCGGGGCCUUGAGCCGCGCGGUAAUCGCGACAUGUCGCGAUGUUCGUGCAAGCACACCCGCAGUUUGGCGACUUGCUGCAAUCAAUCGAAACAUUAGAUUGUACUCAUGCGCUAGGAGAUGCCGAGGCAGUGAUUUGCGCGCCAACGCAAUGGAUACGCGCUGCAUGAGGCUCGUGCACGACAGAUCCCCGCGACUCGCUUGCGGACUUCAGGCGCGCGCGCUCCAGCAUACUCUGUGCCCUGUCCAACUCACCGAGUACCGUGUAUACGUAUAUCUGCAAAUAUGAUGCUGUCUCGCACCGUCGUCAACGUUCAGGUGAGUCGCGCCAUCGCCGGGACCGUGCGCAGUGCGUCGACAGCCACCGCCUGAGUCAGCGCGGCAAUGGUGCAAGUGCUACAUGCACAUGUGACUUACGCGCGGGAGAUGUCCAAAAGACCAGCUCUAGUCGUUGCCUCGCCCCGUCAUCUGACCUUUUUGGUUUGCUUUUCGCGGGCAUGCGCCAGCUGCGUGAUCCACGCUCAUGGCGCUCGCAAGUUUAAGACAAGAGCGAGCUACAUCACCCAUGGCCGUUCUCGCAUAUGCUUGCCUUCCAACAUCGCGCCCUCCGCUUCGGUCGCUGUCGACGCUGGCCUGCUACAGGCCAAGCUCACCAAGAAGGGUGGUGCGCCCAAGAAGGCCGCUCCCGCCUCGGCCCAGAAGAAGACCAUCCGGUGCGUGGAAGCGUAGUUGCGAGGCCCAGGUCGAAUGUGCCGGGGCACAUGGAUAUCCGGAGCGCGCGCUUCCCCGCCGCUUCUACCCGCCCGCAUGUGUUAGCAUUGCUGGUUUGCGUCGCUUGCGACCAGCCUAUCAUGGAACAUGGGCUUAAGCAUGCAAGCGCGGCUUCAUGCGAGUCGCUCCUGAUCCGACAACAACUCCGAGACGUGUCUCUAACCUUCACUUCUUAACCAUUACGCUCGCAUUGCCUCCCUGCAGUGAGAAGGCUGGCUGGUGGAGCAACGGCGGCAAUGAGAAGCUGUCGGCUUUCUACGGCCCUGACCGUGGGUAAGCACCGCAGCACGUGCCCGCUCGUCCUUCUUCGUCUACGCAACCCGCGGCCUCUCGCUCGCGCAUGACCAUGGUUUCUGCAUUUCCCUAAUCGCGCCGUUGCUCUGUACAUUUGUUCCUGCCUGCAGUCUGUGGCUGGGCCCCCUGAGCGGCACCACUCCCGCCUACCUGACUGGCGAGUUCCCCGGCGACUACGGCUGGGACUCCGCCGGUCUGUCGGCUGACCCCGAGACCUUCAAGCGCUACCGCGAGCUGGAGCUGAUCCACGCCCGCUGGGCUAUGCUGGGCGCUCUGGGCUGCAUCACCCCCGAGCUGCUGGCCAAGAACGGUGCGUGAUUUGCGUCCCGAACGGCGAACUGGCAGCCACUGGGUAUUCCCCUGCACAACUUUUCCAUGCACUCCGCCCUCCUCCCAAAAGCCGCUUUAUUAAGGUCUCUUUCACUUCCUGUGUCGGUCCACAGGCACCCCCAUCGUUGAGCCCGUGUGGUUCAAGGCUGGUGCUCAGAUCUUCGCCGAGGGCGGCCUGGACUACCUGGGCAACCCCGGCCUGGUGCACGCCCAGUCCAUCCUGGCCACCCUGGCGGUGCAGGUCAUUCUGAUGGGCGCUAUUGAGGGCUACCGCGUCAACGGCGGCCCCGCUGGCGAGGGCCUGGUGAGUGCUUGCGGCAAAAGGGUUGGUGAUGUGUGAUGGGGCUGCGUAUGUACACGCUGCUGUGCAUAAUUUAGGUCAUGGAAUGAUAUAGCUUGUUGCUAACCUGAAUGCUUUCGUAACCCCAACAGGACAAGCUGCACCCCGGCGGCCAGUUCUUCGACCCCCUGGGCCUGGCUGAGGACCCCGAUGCUUUCGCUGAGCUGAAGGUGAAGGAGAUCAAGAACGGCCGCCUGGCCAUGUUCUCCAUGUUCGGCUUCUUCGUCCAGGCCAUCGUGACCGGCAAGGGCCCCCUGGCCAACCUGGACGAGCACCUGGCGUCUCCCUUCACCUCCAACGCCUUCACCUACGCCCAGAAGUUCACCCCUCAGUAAUGCCCCUUCACUUGGCUGGCAGCUGUUGAUGGCGCGUUUGCUGAUGGCAAAUUAUUUGGGUCAGAAGUGGUGUAGACGUGGCGUGGCCAGUUUAGUGCUACAUGUCUACCGUGUAUGACCCGCGUUUUCUUUCCAUCUCCCCUUCCCACCCAUCAUUGUUAUUCGGGACACACCGAACAAAAGCCCUCCACAUGCUCCUGAGGCUGUGAACGCCUCAGGUACCUAAGUGCGCUUGCUUGCCCCUAACUUGCAGCGGGCACGUGUAUGAUCUUGUGUCUUUUGUUUGGUAUGGUUUUUGUUUGUACACGUACAUACCGUGGACCGAGUGUGUGUGCAAAGGGAGCAGUUCGCAAGUUUGCGUGGCGAGAGGCAACCGAGAAGAGAAUCAACCCCCCCGCUUGCAUGGUGUCAAAGUGUGCUUCCUAAGGGUCUGGUAUUGGGCCUCGUGCACACUGUAACCAUGCCCCCAUCUCUCUUCGGCCGCGCUCCUCGUCCAUUGGAGAGAGGGAGGGAUGGAAGGUUCACCUCGAUGACAGGUCAGGACGUGUUGGCCAUUCUUCACACAGAUUCCAGUCAUCCCCUCGUUCGACCCUUACCUAAUUAGCAUGGGGUUGGCAGGCCUGGCUGCGCGAACUCACGGAACGUCGCCAUCAGGAAAGAGCGGAGGGUUGUCAUGCAUCGGCACGUAAGAUACCGCAGUUAUUGAGCAGUGUUGCGGAACUAAUGCGUACGUAGACCAGAGCGGAAGUUAUUCCGCCUGCGCGGUGCCUUGACGUGCAGCAUAC